rnacentral:lncRNA from 1 species
CCUACAUCUUGUCUUUCCUGGCCCUAGUUUAAUUCAAGUCUUUCCCUCAUUAUCUCUGUAUAAAUAAAUGUUCUUCAUUUAUAUAGCCCUUUACAACAACCCUUUUGGUGAACCAAAGUGCUUUACAAUACAUAGUAAAUAAAAAAAGACAAAAUAAAAACAAUAAAAAGCAAUGAAACCAAUAAAAGCAAUAACAAAAAGAAUAAGAUACAAUGCAAUAAAAUAAAGUAAAAGUGUCACAAUGUUACUGGGUAUUAAAAGCCAGCAUAAAUAAAUAUGUUUUCAGUCGAGAUUUGAAAAGGCCCAUUUCUGGCAGGUUUGACGACCUCAGAGCUCGACCCGGCCCCUGAAUGGUUAAAAGCUAAGUUAAAUAGAUGGGGGGUGAGGCCGUUAAGAGCUUGUUCCCAGCUAGAAAUCUUUUGUUCUAAAAACAUUCUGACAAUGUUACCUGUGAUGUUCUUACAAUGUUUUUUGCGGGAAGUUUUUGUUCAGUUCCAAGAAUGUUAUCAAAGAAUAUCCUCAAAAAACAUCCUUAACAUGUUUAUCGAUAACACUCUUAAAAUGUUAAAUGAAAAUAUUUUUAUAACCUAAUAUUCUAAUGCUUAAGGGAUGUUUUAAGAGGGAAGUUUUCUUCAAGUUCCAAGAACGUUUUAAAGGAACGUUCUUUUAAAACAUUCUAAAAACUUUUUAAGAUAACCUUCUUAAAAUGUUAAAUGAACAUAUUGCUAUAACAUUAUAUCCUAAUAUUUUAAUUAUGUUUUUAGCAGGAAGUUUUCUUAAAGUUCCAAGAAUGUUAUAGAAGAAUGGUCUCUAAAAACAUUCUGGAAAUGUUUUGUAAUAACAUUAUUAAAAUGUUGAAUGAAAAUAUUGCCCUAAUAUCAUACCCUCAUGUUUUUAUGAUGUCUUUAUGGGGGAGUUUUCUUUGGGUUCCCAGAAUGUUCUUGAAGAACAUUUUCUGAUGACAUUCUAACAACAUUUUGUGAUAGCCUUCUUAAAAUGUUGAAUGAAAUUAGUACUAGAAUAUUACACUGUAAUGUUUUAAUGAUGUUUUGUUUAAAGUUCCCAGAAUGUUCUAGGAGAAUGUUCUCUAUAAACAUCCUAACAAUGGUUUGUGAUAAUGUUCUUACAAUGUAACAAAUUAAAAUAUUGCUACAUUAUACCCUGAUGUUAUAAUUAUAUUUUUUUGGUGGAAGUUUUCUUUAAGUUCCCAGAAUGUUCUGGGUGAAUGUUCUAUAAAAACAGUCUAAGAAUAUUUUGUGAUGACUUUGUUACAAUGUCACAAAUGAAAACAUUGCUACAACAUUAUACCCAAAUGUUCACAGCUGGCAGUGUUAGAAUGAUACAGUUUAAGAAGUGGAUAACAUGCAUUGAAAAGAAAAAUCUAUCAAUGUUAUGUUACGGUAUUUAAACAUUGAAAUGACAUCACCUUUCAUCUCAAGAUUUAAGUUUCCUGACACUGGUCACGAGGAUCACUGAUUAAUUACUUCAAAAUAGAAUUGGACCACGAACCCAUGUAAAUGUUUCACAACACUCAUUUAUUUAAACACUUAAAAAAAAAUAAAAAAUUAAGGAGGGAGAGAGAAAGAUUUUUAAUAACAGGCGAAGCGGGUUGAUGCUCUGUUAGCAGCCUGCGUUGGUUUUCAUAGACAAAUAUCUGCGAAGCACCUUAAGGAGGACGCGUCGCUGGUGUGACUGAGCAGCGGCCAAACAUGAAAUUCUCUGGAUGUGAAAGUUCUGAGGAGUCCUGAUCCUCUUUUCUCCAGUUCCACUCCUGCUAUUUAUGUGUCAGAUUCUUCUGACAGGAUUACGCGGCUCCCCUCCGACACUGCAGGAUCACCGUCUGGUCUGGGUCCACUUGCCUCAUUCACAUGCAUAAUAAAAAAAAGAGUAUUUAAAAACUGUUAAUGAUUCAUUACUGAUUCAGUAAUUACUGCAAAUAACCAAUAAUAUCCAAAUAAAGUAUAUACAAAAAAGUAAGUUAAUCUAGUGAUAAUGAUGUGUUGUCGGUGGUGGGGAGGAGAGGCAGACGCCAGCAACUAUGCUGAUAAAAGCUCCCUGCAUUUGAUAUAGUUUCCCUUUUCCUUGAAAUCAAAGACCAUUGACAGGAUUUGACCUAUGAGCUUGAAAGAAAACCACCAAAGAAAAGAAAAAGGAAAUCUGACCGGGUUAAAACAAGAGACAACAUCGGCAUAUCUUUCCCCAGGUAGAGAAAACUCAUGAGGGAGAAGAACCUGAAAACACGAGGUUGCAACCUUUUUGCUAGGCGGGUAAAUAAAUCAAACAUUAAAAUUUUAUCUUGACAUAAUGUUAGAAACCAGAGCAGUGUAGUCCCACAACUACUUUAUCUGUGCAUUAGUGAUGAGAACAGUGCUAUACAAAUGAUGAGCGCUAUACAAAUGCUAAAUUAAGUGAGUAAACCCACGCAACUUUACUCUGAACUACAUAAUAAACUACAAUGCAUGAAUUCUAGAAAUAAGAAUUUGAUACGCCAAGUGAUACACUGCAGACAAGGAUGCGUUCAAUGGUGCAAUGUUACUACUACUCAAAAAGUAUACCUAAUGACAGAAAAAAGUCUCAAUGUGCAUCAAAAUUUGCAAAUAUGCUCACAUCUUAUCACAAAUUGUACGGCAAUGAACAUGUUUUUCAACAAAUCAAAACACUGACCUGCAUCCCUCUGUGAGGGGCAUAUC